rnacentral:rRNA from 1 species
UACGGGGGGGGCAAGCGUUGUUCGGAAUUACUGGGCGUAAAGGGCGCGUAGGCGGCCUGCUAAGUCGGACGUGAAAUCCCACGGCUCAACCGUGGAACUGCCUCGGAUACUGGCGGCCUCGAGGGAGGUAGGGGCGUGCGGAACUGUGGGUGGAGCGGUGAAAUGCGUUGAUAUCCACAGGAACUCCGGUGGCGAAGGCGGCACGCUGGACCUCUUCUGACGCUGAGGCGCGAAAGCCAGGGGAGCAAACGGG